GGUCCAGUGGCAUAGCGGUCACGCACUCCAUUUGAAUAGCUGGUGGGAAACUGAAUAAGGGAGGGUUCGGAGUUUGAUUCUCCGCCAGGCCA